UAAAUAAUUAAUAUUAUUUGCAGCACACCCGAACAAAGCAAAUCAGCUCAACUAAUCUUGUCUCAACAUCCUGGAUCUGGCAAUCCGCCAAUCAACAUUAAAUCGAUGCAACCGCAGCAGUACCAACAACUCCAAAUACAGCAAUAGCCAACAACCCCUCAAAAAAGGACCACAUAGCAAUUACUGCUCAAACGAACAACAGGAGUUUACGAAUGAUGGACACAUCGGAAAACAUUUCAUCGGCACAUUAAAACUUGUCUGCCACUAUUUUUACCAGCGGUUGCCUUCUUGAUUUAGAGAAAUCGGAGUCAAGCACAAAAGUCAUAUUCCAGCCUUGGUUCCUACCAGGACUUUUUUAUUCAGUUGGUGCGGCAAGAUCGAACACCAACAACAUAAUAACAUGGUAAUCACCCAGCAAGAGAACGCAGUGAUAAUGGGUCAACAGAAAACACAACAUCAAUAUGCUCGGAAUGGACUUUCUCUUUCGAACAAACAUAAUGGCGCGUCAUGUUCAAUCGGCUAACCGUUUGGAAUAAGCGCUCAUCAUCGGUUUCAUGGCAGGGAAGUGAGCAGGCAAAAGAAGGCAUCGUUUUUUCCGCAAGGUCGCUCUGGUCAAAAUUUCAGCGAAUUGCAAGGAAUAAACCA